AGUCGUAACAAGGUAUCCGUAGGUGAACCUGCGGAUGGAUCAUUAUAGGGUGUUGGGUAAUUGUGAGUGGUUUUAUUAUUAGUAGUUUGAGCGGUGUUGGUUGGGAUGCGAAGCAGGAUUGCGAAGCAGGAUUGCCAAGCAGGAUUGCCAAGCAGGAUUGCCAAGCAAGACAGCCAACAUUGCCUCACGUUAAACUCUAUAAAUCUAACAAUUACAUACAAAAAAAAACAACUUUUAGCAACGGAUCUCUUGGCUCUC
rnacentral:misc_RNA from 1 species